UACGUAGGGGGCAAGCGUUGUCCGGAUUUAUUGGGCGUAAAGAGCGUGUAGGCGGCCUGGAAGGUCAGUUGUGAAAACUCGAGGCUCAACCUCGAGACGCCGAUUGAAACCACCAGGCUAGAGUCCGGAAGAGGAGAGUGGAAUUCCCGGUGUAGCGGUGAAAUGCGCAGAUAUCGGGAAGAACACCCGUGGCUAAGGCGGCUCUCUAGUACGGUACUGACGCUGAGACGCGAAAGCGUGGGGAGCGAACAGG
rnacentral:rRNA from 1 species